GGGGGUAUAGCUCAAGUGGUAGAGCACAUACAUGCUUAGCAGGAGGUCCUGGGUUCAAUCCCCAGUACCUCCU
rnacentral:tRNA from 1 species